GAGAACUACGACACAACAGAAACACAACAUUAAAAUGUAACACACACAGAAACGAACUAUAAUAUAACAAUGGCCAUUUUCCUGACUUGGUACAGGACAUUUUAAGGGAAAAAAAUAGUGGGUUGAACCUGGUUUUGUGGCAUGCCAAACCUCCCGCUUUUAUGGCAAUGUGAAAUAUAAAAUUAAAAUGACAACAUUACAUGACAGGACUACAAUACAAAUAAAUGGGAGAACAUAUAGGACAGAGAAACAC
rnacentral:lncRNA from 1 species